AACCUUAUGGACCUGCGGGCGUAUACCUGCGGAAGGAUCAUUACCGAGUUUACAACUCCCAAACCCCUGUGAACAUACCUAUACGUUGCCUCGGCGGAUCAGCCCGCGCCCUGUAAAAAGGGACGGCCCGCCCGAGGACCCUAAACUCUGUUUUUAGUGGAACUUCUGAGUAAAACAAACAAAUAAAUCAAAACUUUUAACAAUGGAUCU
rnacentral:misc_RNA from 1 species